UACGUAGGGGGCAAGCGUUGUCCGGAAUUAUUGGGCGUAAAGAGCUCGUAGGCGGUUCGUCACGUCGGCUGUGAAAUCCCGAGGCUCAACCUCGGGUCUGCAGUCGAUACGGGCGGACUGGAGUACUGCAGGGGAGACUGGAAUUCCUGGUGUAGCGGUGAAAUGCGCAGAUAUCAGGAGGAACACCGGUGGCGAAGGCGGGUCUCUGGGCAGUAACUGACGCUGAGGAGCGAAAGCGUGGGGAGCGAACAGG
rnacentral:rRNA from 1 species